GACUACACNCACCCUCCCCCGCCCCCUUGGAAGUAAAACGUCGUAACAAGGGUCUCCCGUUGGUGAACCAGCGCGGAGGGAUCCAUUACCGGAGUUUACAACUCCCCAAACCCCAAUGUGAACGUUACCAAACUGUUGCCUCGGCGGGAUCUCUGCCCCGGGUGCGUCGCAGCCCCGGACCAAGGCGCCCGCCGGAGGACCAACCAAAACUCUUAUUGUAUACCCCCUCGCGGGUUUUUUUAUAAUCUGAGCCUUCUCGGCGCCUCUCGUAGGCGUUUCGAAAAUGAAUCAAAACUUUCAACAACGGAUCUCUUGGUUCUGGCAUCGAUGAAGAACGCAGCGAAAUGCGAUAAGUAAUGUGAAUUGCAGAAUUCAGUGAAUCAUCGAAUCUUUGAACGCACAUUGCGCCCGCCAGUAUUCUGGCGGGCAUGCCUGUCCGAGCGUCAUUUCAACCCUCGAACCCCUCCGGGGGGUCGGCGUUGGGGAUCGGCCCUGCCUCUUGGCGGCGGCCGUCUCCGAAAUACAGUGGCGGUCUCGCCGCAGCCUCUCCUGCGCAGUAGUUUGCACACUCGCAUCGGGAGCGCGGCGCGUCCACAGCCGUUAAACACCCAACUUCUGAAAUGUUGACCUCGGAUCAGGUAGGAAUACCCGCUGAACUUAAGCAUAUCAAUAAGCGGAGGAAAAC
rnacentral:rRNA from 1 species